rnacentral:rRNA from 1 species
CCUACGGGAGGCAGCAGUGAGGAAUUUUCUGCAAUGGGCGAAAGCCUGACAGAGCAAUACCGCGUGAGGGACGAAGGCCUACGGGUUGUAAACUUCUUUUCUCAAGGAGGAAGAUCUGACGUUACUUGAGGAAUAAGCAUCGGCUAACCCUGUGCCAGCAGCCGCGGUAAUACAGGGGAUGCAAGUGUUAUCCGGAAUCAUUGGGCGUAAAGCGUCUGCAGGUUGAUCUUUAAGUCUUUUGUUAAAUCUUCGGGCUUAACCCGAAAUCUGCAAAAGAAACUAUUUAUCUUGAGUAUGGUAGAGGUAGAGGGAAUUUCCAGUGGAGCGGUGAAAUGCGUAGAUAUUGGAAAGAACACCAACAGCGAAGGCACUCUACUGGGCCAUUACUGACACUCAGAGACGAAAGCUAGGGGAGCAAACGGGAUUAGAUACCCCGGUAGUCCUAGCUGUAAACGAUGGAUACUAGAUGUUGUUUAUCCUCUAGAUAGGCAGUNUCGUAGCUAACGCGUUAAGUAUCCCGCCUGGGAAGUAUGCCUCGCAAAGNGUGAAACUCAAAGGAAUUGACGGNUGAGAGUGCGACGGACGACGACGAGGGAGAGG